rnacentral:lncRNA from 10 species
CUGUGGUCUAACAGACUGUUUAUUUCCAGUUGUUUUGAAUUUGCUAACGAGUGUUUUAUUUCUAAUUAUUUUAUCAAUUUUAGAUGAAGUGCUAUGUGACAAUGAGAAGAAUGUAUAUUCUGUUGUGUUUUGAUGCAGAGUUCUGCAGAACUUAUCAGGUUGGACUCUGUGAAGCCUGCAGGCCAGAAUUGCUAAGGUGACAAAAAAGCAAAAAAAAAGUCAACUUCUCCUCUCUCUAGGAAGUCUGUCCCAGGAAGUUUUCAAACCUCUCUUGGCCAGAGAACAUCAGUGGGAGUGAUUGGAGGCCCUGGAUGGGAAGUCCCGCCAAGCUGGAACAGCUGAGCCAUCCAAACAGCAAGGAUGACAACCUUCCCUUUCUCCUAAGAACUCUGCCCCAUUCAAGCUUGGCCCAACACUGUUGCCAGGGGCUGGCUGGAAUUCCAAGCUGAUUUCAAACAUUUAGGUUCAAGGGAUGCAGAUGCAGGGUGAAAGGAGAGACGAUUGGACAAGACACCAUGCUCAUCUGACAGUGACCUAAAACUUAACAAAGGUCUGUAAAAGCACUCAAUGGCAUUGCAGGCUAGAAUCAUAUAACCUGGAUUGGUGUCAUUUAGACAGGCUCAGGCUUACCAUUGAAGAACACAUUUCUACUAUAAAAAGUCAAGUGGAAAAGUUACAGUUUUCUCAAGAACAGGGUACCAUCAUUAAGGUGACCAGGUUUUUAUCAUGGGAACUUCUAGUCCCAGAUCUGAUCAUGGCUAAAUGAAUACCAAUGGCAUCCCAAUGUCUAGGGUGUCACAAAGGCUGAUCCCUAACCAGUGAGGGGCUGGCCCAGAGGUACACAGUGGGUGAGACUGAGCACUGCUGUCUUGAGACUCCAAGGCCACGUGGAGAGUCAAGUUGGGUCAACUGGAGCAAAGCUCACUUAGUCCUUUUCAUGAUGCUGUAACAGAAGCUGAGACUAAAAAAAUUAUUAAGGAAGGAGGUUUAUUUAGUCCAUGGAUCUACAGCCUAAGAAUUACAAGAUUGGCUGGGCACAGUGGCUCAUGCCCGUAAUACCAGCACAUUGGGAGGCCAAGGAAGGCAGAUCACCUGAGGUUGAGAGUUCAAGACCAGCCUGUCCAAUGUGGAGAAAUCCCAUCUCUACUAAAAAUACAAAAUUAGCCAAGCAUGGUGGUGCAUAAUUCCAGCUACUCAGGAGGUGGAGGCAGGAGAAUCGCUUGAACCUGGGAGACAGAGGUUGUGGUGAGCCGAUGUCACAGCAUUGUACUCCAGCCCGGGCAACAAGAGUUAAACUCUGACUCAAAAAAAUAAUAAUAAUAAAUAAGAUGUACAACCCUGGCACCUGCUUAACUUGUGGAGGGCCUUAUACUACUUAUGCUGCUUCCACUCAAGUUGAAAAGUGGAAGGAAAUCAGGUGUGUGCAAAGAGAACACAUGGCAAGAGGGGAAGAAAGAGAGAGAGAGAAACCAAGGAAUCUACACUCUUUAACAACCCAUUCUUGCAGAAAAUGAGAGCAAGAAAUUACAAUGCAGGAAUACAUCAAUCUCUUUAUGUGGAAUCCACACCCAUGACCCCAAAUCUCAAAUAGAUCCUACCUUACAAUACUGUCCCAUGGAGAAUUGAAUUUCAAAAUGAGUUUUGUUGUAGACAGUCUACAUCAAAAUCAUAGCAUUCACAAAACCACAGAACUACGAAAAAGAAAUGUUGGAGCUCUCAAAGACAUAGGAAGUAGGCCUGCCCCCUCUCAGCAUGAGCAGAACUACAGUUCCCAUAAGCCCUGUGGACACCUCCUGUGGGAGAUCAGCUGUGCCCAGUGCCUGAGCUCAUCCACACCUGUUCUUCUUGCUGCAACUUUGCACCUGAUGGGCAACACCUUGGAGCUGAUGGGCAAUGAAGCCCACAAUAACAGAAAGUGCUGUAAUAUUGUAAUAAUAUAUAUAUAUAUAGUAUUGUAAUAAAAUAUAUAUAUAAA